rnacentral:rRNA from 1 species
ACAGACAGCCAGGAUGUUGGCUUAGAAGCAGCCAUCAUUUAAAGAAAGCGUAAUAGCUCACUGGUCGAGUCGGCCUGCGCGGAAGAUGUAACGGGGCUAAACCAUGCACCGAAGCUGCGGCAGCGACACUAUGUGUUGUUGGGUAGGGGAGCGUUCUGUAAGCCUGCGAAGGUGGCCUGUGAGGGUUGCUGGAGGUAUCAGAAGUGCGAAUGCUGACAUAAGUAACGAUAAAGCGGGUGAAAAGCCCGCUCGCCGGAAGAC